rnacentral:lncRNA from 1 species
GGGGGGGAGAAGUUGGGGGACUAGAGGAGCGAAGGAGUCAGUGCUGAACGCGGCCCGGAAGGGUAGCAGCAGACGUCCCUCAGGCUCAUAGGGACCCGCCCCAGCCCUUGUGACCGUCCUUCUCGGCUCCCUCCCAACCCCGGGCUGCCCAGCGUGCCUGUCCCUCGGCCACUCUCUCCUGUCUCCGUCCAUCUCUUUCACCGCUGAAGUGUGUUUAGAUGGCUGCGCCAAGAAAAGGGUAACCAGAUUGUCCUCGGUCAUCUCCCUCAUAGCUCUUCCAGGUUAUAGCUUCCAUCAACAAGAACAGAAAUCCUGAAGGGGAAACUGAGGCACGGAGUCCUGACCCGAGAUGAGUCUGAGAAGAAGUCUCACCCGAUUCUCUCCUCGGUCACUUCAGUCCCUCCCUACUCCAGACGGAUGCUGCAAGGGUCUCUCCGCCCUCAGAAGGGAGUGGAUCUGCGUCUGCACCGGGCGGGACCUGCACUCGAGGAGCCGGACCCUUUCCCUAGCGCCCGGGUCCUAGAGGAGCGUGGCUUGGCCCUCCUCUCAAGAGCUCGCCCGGCUUAGCAGCGGACCUCUUCGCCGGUCCUCGCGCACCCUCUGCCGGCGCCUCUCAGGAAACGCGCUCGCUGUCCCCGCCCUGGAUAUUCCCGUCCCGUAGGACAGACGGAGGGCAGCCGGGAGCUCUGCAUGCCCCUGCUUUUGGAACACUCCUUGCACCAAGAUUCCAGAAAAUUCCUUUGUCUAUUCAAAACUGGAGGAGCGAGGACAAGAGAGCUGAACUUGAGGCAGGCCAGGCUCGGAGCAUAUGGGUCAGUCAUCCAUCACCUGCCACCUCCCUAGAGACCUUGGCAGGCCAGAUUUGAGGGACGAGAGGAAAGGAGGGGAGACAAAAGGCUCAGUGAGAUCUGUGCGGAGCGGAACAAGGGAAUCAGCUGGGCGGAAUCACGGAGACCUGAGUGACAUUCAUCUCUGACACAUGUUGCAUGACUUGGGACAAUAAAAAGAACCUCUCUGGGAC